rnacentral:tmRNA from 1 species
GGGGUCGACCGGUUUUGACAGCUUUUGUAGUCCGGUUGUAAGCACGUCGGGAGUUGUAGGCAUUUCCUGUUAAAAAAACCUUCGAAUGAUAGCUGGCAAUACUUCGUAUGCCAUGGCUGCUUAGUCUGAUAGACUAACCAAUUGCCAUCGUUCAGCCUCUUCCAAACUCUGCCGAGGAGGGAUUCUGGGCGUCGACAUGCAGAGUCGACUAGUUAGUAUGUCUCUAUCUAAUUAGUUAGUAUCCAGAGGAUAAGUUGGGAUUUUGGUCUGAUUUAAACCAAAUCACAAUCGAAAAUUAAUUGAAUCUAAACGUGUAGAAAGCAUCAGUUCUCGAGGUUUGGACGAGGGUUCGAAUCCCUCCGACUCCACA